GAGUUUGAUCCUGGCUCAGGAUGAACGCUGGCGGCGUGCCUAAUACAUGCAAGUCGAACGAAACUUCUUUAUCACCGAGUGCUUGCACUCACCGAUAAAGGGUUGAGUGGCGAACGGGUGAGUAACACGUGGGCAACCUGCCCAAAAGAGGGGGAUAACACUUGGAAACAGGUGCUAAUACCGCAUAACCAUAGUUACCGCAUGGUAACUAUGUAAAAGGUGGCUAUGCUACCGCUUUUGGAUGGGCCCGCGGCGCAUUAGCUAGUUGGUGGGGUAAAGGCUUACCAAGGCAAUGAUGCGUAGCCGAACUGAGAGGUUGAUCGGCCACAUUGGGACUGAGACACGGCCCAAACUCCUACGGGAGGCAGCAGUAGGGAAUAUUGCACAAUGGGGGAAACCCUGAUGCAGCAACGCCGCGUGAGUGAAGAAGUAUUUCGGUAUGUAAAGCUCUAUCAGCAGGGAAGAAAAUGACGGUACCUGACUAAGAAGCUCCGGCUAAAUA
rnacentral:rRNA from 1 species